GUUCAGCAAAGCCUGUGCGGAGCGAGCCAGAGCUACCUGUGGAAGGGACCUCAGCGAAAACCAGUGAUUGCCCACACAGCAGUAGCUCCUCUGACGGCCCAGCGGAAAGCCCUGUGGAAAGCUGUGUGUCGGCUGGAGCUGAGUGGACCAGGGUUUCCCCAGAGACCAGCGCCUGCUCAAAGCUUUCUGACAUGAAUGACCUCCCCAUCAGCAGCUACCCUGGAUCAGAUUCCUGGGCCUGCCCAGGGAACACUGAGGAUGUGUUCAGUCAUUUUCUUUAUUGGUGAACUCCUCUCCCUGACAUAAGCAAGGACUUAGAGCUGCUUCUGAGUGAGGCUGGGCCUCAGGAGGACGACUGCAGCAGACCUGGGGUUGUGCACAACAGCUGUGUGGCCCGGAGUGAGAUUCAGAAAGUCCUUGGUAGCUUGCAGGAGCAUCUGAUGAAUGAUCCAGAUGUUCAAGCUCAAGUUCAGGUAUUAUCCGCUGCACUGAGAGCUGCACAGCUCGACUGCGUGAAUGAAGCUGAGAGCAAGCCAACAGCAGGCCUAAAGGAAGUGUCCAUUUCACAUCCCAGCUCUGCCUCUGACAAUCAGAUCGCUCUGGCGGCCUCAUCAUCUCAGGAUGAGCUCUUUGUGGCCAGGAUAUUACAAAGCCCAGAUCCAGGUGGACCCAGAAAUGGAACCAGUGACCAUCUGGAGACUGACCAGAGGCAGGAUCCCACCCCACUUGAAGAGAAUAAAUCUAAAUUACAGGAUGUAAUACCUCAGCCGCUGCUAGAUCAGUAUGUGUCCAUGACUGACCCAGCUCGAGCCCAGACUGUCGAUACUGACAUAGCCAAACACUGUGCCUACAGCCUCCCAGGGGUGGCACUGACCCUGGGCAGGCAAAAUUGGCACUGCCUGAAAGAUACAUAUGAAACACUGGCUUCUGAUGUACAGUGGAAGGUACGGCGAGCCCUAGCCUUCUCCAUUCACGAGCUGGCUGUGAUUCUUGGGGAUCAGUUAACAGCAGCUGACCUGGUGCCUAUCUUCAAUGGAUUUUUAAAGGAUCUGGAUGAAGUGCGAAUAGGAGUUCUUAGACACCUGUAUGAUUUUCUAAAGUUGCUUCAUGAAGACAAGAGGAGAGACUAUCUUUAUCAGCUUCAAGAAUUUGUAGUGACUGAUAACAGCAGGAAUUGGAGGUUUCGAUAUGAACUAGCAGAACAGCUGAUACUGAUUCUGGAACUCUAUAGUCCCAAUGAUGUUUAUGAUUACCUAAUGCACAUUGCCUUAAAGUUGUGUGCAGAUCAAGUUUCUGAAGUUCGGUGGAUCUCCUUCAAACUAGUCGUGGCAAUUCUGCAGAAGUUCUAUUCCAACAGUGAAAGUGCAUUGGGGUUAAAUUUCAUCAAUGAGCUCAUCAUAAGGUUCCGGCACUGUUCUAAGUGGGUUGGAAGGCAAGCUUUCGCUUUCAUUUGUCAGAUUCUGAAAUGACUUCUUUGGGAUUAAAGAAGUGUAUGUUUCUAGAAGACUGCGGAAAACAUCAUUUCUUUGGCUGUGACUUUCUUGGAGCAGGCAGUGGUGAGCAAGGAGUGUGUCCCCGUGGACCAGUUCAUGGAGCACCUGCUUCCCAGCCUCCUGAGCCUCGCAUCAGAUCCUGUGCCCAACGUGAGGGUUCUGCUAGCCAAGGCCCUAAGGCAGAUGCUGUUGGAAAAGGCGUAUUUUAGAAAUGCUGGUAACCCUCAUCUUGAAGUCAUUGAAGAGACCAUCUUAGCAUUGCAGUCAGACCGGGACCAAGAUGUUUCCUUUUUUGCAGCCCUAGAACCAAAGCGGCGGAAUAUCAUAGACACUGCUGUACUAGAAAAACAGAAUUAACUACUUCCGUGAUGAGUUGCAAUCUGAUUAUUUCAUGCUUGGCACAUAUGGCUUACCAUAACUUGAAGGGGAACUGAUUGUAUUAUACCAGCUGGGGGAGAUUUUGGAACCUUUCAUACUGUGCACUCAGUGAUUGACGCCUUUUCCAUCUGUACCCCGAAGGGACUGAACCUGAUGGGGGCUUUUUCUGGAUGGCUGGGCCAUCCUGAUCAAGCCUGAUCAGUAAGUCUGUGGAAAGAUUGCAGACCAGGUGGCUAACUGGGCACUGGAGCCUCUGAACCAUCAGGCUGUCUGCCAGCAAGUUCUUUUCUCCAUGGCAGACUGUAUGAUCUGAAGUCCCCCCAACCCUCUCCAAGUAAAGUAGUUUAUUAGAAGCUCUUAAGUCUUUAAUAGACCUGCAUAUUUCCUUCCCUUAUGAUUUCCUAUAAAAUAUAGUUUAUGGUGUUAUAUUUUUAACUGAAAUACUGUACAUAUGUAAAUAACUCUUGACAGGAAGAAAAUAUAUUAAUGUAGUAUUUGCCCCCUAUCAGUGAGCUGAACAAAUACAUCAUUUAAAUCUAUGCUGCACUUUGAGUUGCUACAAAUAUGGUUCGAUUUGUUUAUUUUUGAAAAAUGUGAUAAAGAAAUCUAAAGAAUGAUUGAUGGCAGUCUUUCUAAUAUUGUGCCUUUGUUAUAAACUACUUGGAACUUUUCCUCAGGCACUCACUCCUCCCUGCCUGACAGGAACUGUUUCCAUGAAGAUAUGUGUUGGCCUUUGAUAGAGGCAUAAAGCUGAAAGAUUUUUCAUUUUUAUAUGGAUAUGCUGUCAUAUGUUUAAGAACUUGAGAGGGAAAUGGAUAACUGAGGUUUUUCCAUUUUUAUAUGGAUAUGCUAUAUGUUUAAACUUGGGAGGGAAAUUGAUAACUGAGAUGCAUGGAUAUUGACUUUAUAUCUAAUGCUUUAGAAUCUUAACCAAAAAAAGGAAAACCUAGUUCUGAUCAUAACCUGCCCACAAGUUCUACGCACCUGUGACUUUGGGGGUCAAAUUAUAUACUCUUCAAAUUGACUUAAGUACACACCGCUUAGAUUUCAUGCGUUUCAAAUUUAGACUAAGAGAAAGAUGCUCUAGAAUUUAACCAGGUUUUUUAAAUCAGUAAUUUAAGAUUUUCUAACCAUUUGAACAAAUUUUACUUACAUGUAUGCACAUGUCAUUUUUCGUGUUUCUAUUUUUAUGUUCUCAAAGGUAGGAUAAGGGAAGGAAGGAGGAAACAGCCCAUUUGGGGUUCAAGAGCUAGCUCUGCUAAGGGCUUGUAAGCUAUUUCUAUUCUGCCCUUUGGUCUUUUUCUUGUUUGUCUUGUCUUUAUUUUUAAAUGAAAUUCUUGAAGCUAUGUAUUGAAUUUUCUAGUAUAGAGGAUGUGACUUCCACCUCCAAAUUCCAUUUAACUGAUUCUUUUAAAAGAAAGAUAGGCGUAUAUACACCACGCCAAAAUAAUAAUAAGGUACCUAUGUGAGAAUUGCAAAUUAUACCCCAGGGUAGCAUUUAGGCAGCGUCGGCAAAAAGUGAGUUAAUAAAUCAGAAGCUACAUAUUAAAAAAAAAAUCAGUCAAUCCGUCGUGUGUUUAAUUCUUGCCUAAAGUAAAUGGAGAUAUUGUUUUGCUUUGGUAACCAGCAAUUUUUAAUUUUUUUUUAUUGCCCGCAAAUUGAGAUUGUUUUGUUAAAAUCUGUUGAUCUAGCAGCAAGUAGAAUUAUUCAACUGGAAUCUUGUAUUCUAUUCAGAGCUUAAUUUUCCGUUAAGGAAAAAAAUGAGCUUCAGUUUGUGUUGUGAUGUGUAUAAUUUGCAUGCUGAAUCACAACAUGCUUGGAGAGAUUGUAGAGACUCUUUGGUAAAUAAUCUAACCUUUACAAUUUCCGUUUAUAUGUUAACAUUUUUCUAUAAUAUGAGUGCCUUUCCAAUGCACAGAUAUUUUUUAUGGCUGUAAUUUCUCUGUAAAAAUAAUUUUUAAGCAUACAUUUUAUUCUUUUUUUGCAACAACCGAGAUUUUUCCAAGAUUGUUCUGUUUCCCCUCGCCCUCCUAGCUCCCGCCCCCGUCACUUCGGCGCUUGUAUUUUCUAAUUAUUCAUGGGUGCCAUGUUGAGUGUUUGUAAUUUGACCACCACAGGUAAGCUUCCUGUUUACUUGAACACUCAGCCUCAUCUCCGGUGAAUGAAGGGAAAAGCACAGAUGGGUUUCUCCCAGGCACAGCUCACUCCAAAGGUGUCUUCAUAGAGCCAACCCAGCCUUUCUCAAGGGAGCAUUUCCCCACUUAAUGUGUUUAUCAGCAUCUUUCUUCCGCCAAGAAUUCAAGAGCAUUUUCAAAAUUGAUAGAUUUUGGUGCAGUUUUGCAAGUUUCCGUGGAAGGCUGUCUCCCGCUUCUGGGAUCCACCCCCAUGUCGGGACCAGAUCGGCUGCAGGGAGUCAUGUUUAUGAAAUGUUGGUGGUUUUUUUUUUUUUUCAUUCAUACUAGAAGUGUUUUUAUAACGAAAAUCUGCACUUUACAACUCUGCAGGCCAUGCAUGCAAUGGUGAUUUACAGCCUUGUUUACGUGUAAUUCCUCCAGGUGAUUUAUCCCAAUUUAUGCAAAGAUCCUAUUUUAAACAGACACGGAGAAGUGGUAACCGUUUCCUAACAGCAGCAAGAAUGCCCCUUCCGUUUGCCUGGUGAAAAGAACUGACAUUAACAGCAGCUUGGAGGCUUCGAGGAGGUGGGGACGUGGCCUGAGCUCGGGACGGGGGCCCAGUGCGGGUUGUCGGAGCGUGGCUGCCCGGCGAUGUCUCUGUAUUUAUCAAUAAAUCUCCCGGUUGCUCUGGGAAG
ensembl:lncRNA novel transcript